rnacentral:rRNA from 1 species
UACGGAGGGAGCUAGCGUUGUUCGGAAUUACUGGGCGUAAAGCGCACGUAGGCGGUUAUUCAAGUCAGAGGUGAAAGCCCGGGGCUCAACCCCGGAACUGCCUUUGAAACUAGAUGACUAGAAUCUUGGAGAGGUCAGUGGAAUUCCGAGUGUAGAGGUGAAAUUCGUAGAUAUUCGGAAGAACACCAGUGGCGAAGGCGACUGACUGGACAAGUAUUGACGCUGAGGUGACGAAAGCGUGGGGAGCAAACAGG